ensembl:lncRNA
GAGAAACCAAUGUUUUAAGACGUUUCACAGAGACACAGAAUUGUUGGAAGGGACCAGUGUAGAUCAAAUCCAACACCCCUGCUAAUGCAGCUUCCCUAAAGAAGGUCAUGCAGAUUUCCUGAAGGCUGUAAAGCAGAAGCUAUCCUGCUUCAUUGUGGAGAAGAGACUAAAUUUUCACUUCAACAGCCACCUUUCUUAAUUUUUCUGAUGUGAUCUUCAGCUUCAGAAAGUACAGAGGAAACAACAAGCAUCCAAGAACUGCAGCUUACCUCAACAAAUCCAAUGCAUAUAUUCAUACAAUUUACUGUGUACUUUUCACAUUUACACUUUUUUUUUUUUUCUUAUAUAGGCAUAGACUAUCCACUGAUUUCAAAAUUAGGAAGAGUUUAAAAU